AGUGAACGCUGGCGGUAGGCCUAACACAUGCAAGUCGAACGGCAGCACAGUAAGAGCUUGCUCUUACGGGUGGCGAGUGGCGGACGGGUGAGUAAUACAUCGGCAUCUACUUUUUCGUGGGGGAUAACGUAGGGGAACUUACGCUAAUACCGCAUACGACCUACGGGUGAAAGCAGGGGAUCUUCGGACCUUGCGCGAUUGAAUGAGCGGAUGUCGGAUUAGUUAGUUGGAGGGGUAAAGGCCCACCAAGGCGAGGAUCCGUAGCUGAUCUGAUAGGAUGGUCAGCCACCCUGCAACUGAAACACGGCCCAGACUCCUACGGUACGCAGCAGUGCGGAAUAUUAGACAAUGCACGCAAGCCUAACCCAACCAUACCGCGUGGGUUAAGAAAGCCUUCCGCUUGUAAAGCCAUUCUGUUUUUAAAGAAAAACAGCAUGUUAAUACCCCGCUGUUCUGACGGUACCCAAAGAAUAAGCACCGGCUAACUUCGUG
rnacentral:rRNA from 1 species